CCUGAUGCUGCGCUCAGAGCCGCUGGAUGCUGCGGGCUGCCGGCCGGAGGCUGCUUCAGCACCGCGGUCAGCUCCUCACAUCCCGGCGGGGCGGAGCGGGGGAGGGUCUGAGAGAGCCGCUCGGUUGUAGUGGAAGCUUCCAUUUUGGAGCAAGGGGAGGCUGGUUAGUAUGGAGGGAAGUCUGCAGAGUUGGAUGCAGGAGGAGGUGAUGGAGAUGGGGGAGGUGAUGGAGGAGGGAGGAGGUGAUGGGGGGAGGGGAGGUCCAUUCAUGCUAACAUUUCCAUUUUGAUUGCUUUGAUGCUGUUUUUGGUUGGAGGGGGGAGGGGAGCAGCAGCCAUGUUUAAUCACAUCCUCAGUGUUCAGUCUGACCUUUACUGCAGUUAUACUCACUGAUACUACAGUUAUACUCACUGAUACUGCAGUUAUACUCACUGAUACUACAGUUAUACUCACUGAUACUGCAGUUAUACUCACUGAUACUACAGUUAUACUCACUAAUACUACAGUUAUACUCACUGAUACUGCAGUUAUACUCACUGAUACUACAGUUAUACUCACUAAUACUACAGUUAUACUCACUAAUACUACAGUUAUACUCAAUGAUAAUGCAGUUAUACUGACUGCUAUUUCAGAGAUUAAACUGUUUUUCAGAGUUAACUCCAGUAAAUAAUCAGAUUUCCUUUUCCUUCUGUCUGCUCUUUGUCCUCCCGUUCCUCGGUUUAUUUCUUCUUCUGUAUUCUGAGAGCUGAUGGAGUCAGCUGGACGGCGGCCGCUAACCGCUCCGUCCGUUGCUCACCUGGCCAGGGAGCCGUGGUGCAUGCUGGGAAACACCUGCGUCCCAUCAGCAGAAAGUGAAGCAGUGGAUUCAGAGACAUGAAGCCUCCUCAGAUCCCUGGGAUAAAGUCCUGUCUCUACACCUCCACCACUCCGUUAAACAUUAAGUCGAUUCUCACUGAUGGAGGAAAACAAUGAAUUCAUCAAAUAGAGGAGCAGGAAACCUCUGAGACAAAAAACUAGUUCAUUAUUUAGCUGUCAGAGUUGUUUUUCUUCUUCCUUCUGGAGCUGGACAGAUUCUCCAUGAACAGAAUGUCCUGACACCUGUAGAUACACCUGUAGGUUAGCUCUACCUGCUGAACACCUGUAGAGGAUUAAAAUGAUGGAUGUAGAUGUUGGUGAUUGGUUAAAAUACUUCCUGGUUAGCCGUUUAUUUAGCUGUAUACUAUUCCACUUUGAGGAUCGCUGUUUUGCUCCCUGUGAUGGCGUCUUUCUGUGUUUUUUAUUUCCUUAUGUUCUUGUUUUGGCUGUAAACUAGAUUUCUAAGCUGAACGAGGCUUUCAGGGUCAGAUCCAUGAAUAAGAGAUAAACAGAAGUGAAAUCGUCCUCAUUGAACACAACGAAGCUCCUAAACUCAGUAGCAACACAACCCUUUACCCACAAUCCCCCUGUACAGCAUCCUGACCCCUGAUUGGCUGAUUUAACGCCUCGUUAUGGAGAUCGGAACGGGCAAAAGCAUCAGAUUAUUUAUUACUUUCUCCAGCUGUCGGUAGGUCUGCUCUAGAACUUUCCCCAGCUGUCGGUAGGUCUGCUCUAGAACUUUCCCCAGUUGUCGGUAGGUCUGCUCUAGAACUUUCUCCAGCUGUCGGUAGGUCUGCUCUAGAACUUUCCCCAGCUGUCGGUAGGUCUGCUCUAGAACUUUCUCCAGCUGUCGGUAGGUCUCCUCUAGAACUUUCUCCAGCUGUCGGUAGGUCUGCUCUAGAACUUUCUCCAGCUGUCGGUAGGUCUGCUCUAGAACUUUCUCCAGCUGUCGGUAGGUCUGCUCUAGAACUUUGUCCAGUUGUCCGUAGGUCUGCUCUAGAACUUUCUCCAGAUGUCAGUAGGUCUG